GACUCACUCUGCUUGCUGUCUGCAUAAACGUUCAACUCAUCACAACCCAGUUUAGGAGUGACACAUACAUAUGUUACCUACAGUGCUUCAGUUCAGGAUGCGAUAUGUUACUAUAAUUCAAAAACAAUCCUUCCAGGGCCUUUGGCAAUUGGCACGGGUUGCCAUGCAGCAGAGGAUGUGCCGGGUUGUGCCAUGCAGCCGCGCUGCCAGCAGCAGGAAGCAGAUCUGCAGCCACACGCUGGGCUGAGUCACUCUGUGUUGGUUUCCCUGACGUUCCCUGGCGAUGCAGGCAGACCUUCCUGGAGGGUGACACACAAACAUCCUCCCCGGGGUCGUGGAGCGGCAAUGCCACCUUCCAAGCCAUCUAUAAAAAUAGAGUCGUUUGUGAUCCGCGUUUUGUCCCACCAAUCAGAGCAUCUGCGGCCUUCUGUGUCUUUCCUGGGACUGUGUUUUAUUUCUCAGGCAUGGAAACGCAAGCCAAAGUCAACUGGAAACUGUUACGGUCUUGAUGAGAAGUCAGCCUACUGCUAACUUUGUUUACUGGAGUUAACUCCUUUGCUCAGCUGGUUGGAGUUGGAGACGUCGGCCCCAGGAGAGCCUCCGGGACGGAGGGCAGUGCUGGCUGCAGGCAACGGCUGUCUGAAGGGAGAGUCUGGGAAAUGGAGCUUGCCACCUCUGAGCUCAGCAGGCCCCACACCAGCAGGCUGCUCCGUGGGGAGGAGGAAGGAAGCUGUAAGCAGGGCCGGGCUGCGGGCUGGCUCUGUGCUGGGGGCAGCCCUGUGCCACGCUGCCGCCCAUGGUGUUCCUCUGAGCCUAUCUGCUGCUUUGUGUAUGAUAAGCAGGUUUCAAUGACGUGAAUGUUUCUAGGUUUUAAGAUGUGAUUUAAUAAAAAGAGACGUUUCUGGGAAAGCAGGUUUUUCUCUCUCUUUUUUUUCCUUUCCUUUUGUUCUCUGGCUGAGUUCGUAAGCCCAGGAAACGCCACUUGGCAGAAGUGUGCGCUGUGCCAGCAGGGAGGGAGGAACCGCGCCAGGCACCUCCAUGGCAGCAGAGGGGGAAACGCUGAGGAGAGCAGAGCGGAGCUCUGUGGGCACAGCCGGGGUGAGCAGCGUGCCCUGGGGGCAGCAGGGGGAGAAAAGCAAAAGCUGUCGGUGCUUUAAACGAGAAGGGAGGCAGACCCUGCGGUGGGGACAGAGUGAAGACAUUGAGCACAGCCAGGAGGACAGAAGACAUCGAGUUCCCAUCAGCCACUGCCUGCUGCACUUGAAGGGAGCAGCUGUGGUCUGAGCCUCCAGCCAUGAGCUCUC
rnacentral:lncRNA from 1 species